rnacentral:rRNA from 1 species
AUUGAACGCUAGCGGGAUGCCUUACACAUGCAAGUCGAACGGCAGCGCGGACUUCGGUCUGGCGGCGAGUGGCGAACGGGUGAGUAAUGUAUCGGAACGUGCCCGGUAGCGGGGGAUAACUACUCGAAAGAGUAGCUAAUACCGCAUACGCCCUACGGGGGAAAGGGGGGGAUCGCAAGACCUCUCACUAUUGGAGCGGCCGAUAUCGGAUUAGCUAGUUGGUGAGGUAAAGGCUCACCAAGGCGACGAUCAGUAGCUGGUUUGAGAGGACGACCAGCCACACUGGGACUGAGACACGGCCCAGACUCCUACGGGAGGCAGCAGUGGGGAAUUUUGGACAAUGGGGGCAACCCUGAUCCAGCCAUUCCGCGUGUGCGAUGAAGGCCUUCGGGUUGUAAAGCACUUUUGGCAGGAAAGAAAUCGCACGGAUUAAUACUCUGUGUGGAUGACGGUACCUGCAGAAUAAGCACCGGCUAACUACGUGCCAGCCGCCGCCGUAA